AGCCACAGCCAUAUAUCGCUGCAGCCCAAGUCCGGUUACUCACUGAAGCUAAACAGGGCUGAGCCUGGUCUGUACCUGGAUGGGAGACCACAAAGGAAAACUAGGUUGCUGUUGGAA
ensembl:rRNA 5S_rRNA 5S ribosomal RNA